UUAAUGCUCCUUGCAGAUCGUUUCGUUUUGAUCCUACAAUUUCAAUAAGAGGGAGUUCUAUCUCUAAGAAUGAUGACGUAAACCUAACGCGUAUUAGGAAACGGUAAAUUAUUCGGGGGGACCCCCACCUGUGUGAGGAACAUGGGUAUCAAAACAUCGGUCUCUUGGGGCAUUUC
rnacentral:other from 1 species